GGUGGAGAAUUAUGUCUAAUCCAGUUUAACACAAAACAACCACCGCCACAGCGACAGAAAACAACUCGAGGCUAUUGAAACGUCGGCUAGGUUGGGGCUAUUGGAACCCUGUGAUGGGGAAACACGGAAAAGUUGAUGUGACAAACGAGAUAACACUCGAACUCUUCUCUACUAGGAUUCCUCCAAUCUUGUUUAUGAAAAAUGUAAAACAGGCACGGUGGGACACAGGCAGCUAGUUGCUGGUACACCCCAGCUAUUGCUAACAGAUUGUUUUUUAAAUUUAUCUUUUGAGAGAGAACACACCCGACAGAAGCUCAUUUUCUUAUAUCUCAUUUGAUGGGCCAUUUUGUCUGAGAGGCAGGCAAAAGAUAUUUUCCUUACAUAAGGAGAAAUGAUUUGGCAGCUUUAGUUUUUCCCAGCCCUGAAGUAUGUUGAUACUAUGAUAAAAGAUAUACGCUGGUAUACAUUUUUAUAUUGAAACUUAAAACUUUUGUGUUCUGGGAGGAAGUGAAAUGACUAAGCUUUCCCAGUAAUGUGUAUGGUAUUUGUUUGACUUCAGGAAACAAAAUUGGACCUUCAGGAAUCCUGUACAGUAAAAAGCAGUUUGGGAAAUUACUAAGAACUUAGGAAGAUGACCACAGCCCGUCUGUGUGUAAUUAUAGAAUCCAGUGCCAGGAGGGCAAAUUCAGAUUGGUGGGAACUCAAGGAAAGUAAACUUCCAGUGAAAUCAUUCUCUGUGAAAGAAACCCCAAGAUAGAUGAUUAC